AUAAGAGGUCCCGCCUGCCCUGUGACAUACGUGUUUAACGGCCGCGGUAUUUUGACCGUGCGAAGGUAGCGUAAUCACUUGUCUUUUAAAUAAAGACCUGUAUGAAUGGCAUAACGAGGGCUAAGCUGUCUCCUUUCCCCAGUCAAUGAAAUUGAUCUGCCCGUGCAGAAGCGGGCAUAACCACAUAAGACGAGAAGACCCUAUGGAGCUUAAGACACCAGGACAGCCCACGUUAAACCCCCUCACUUACGAGGAAUAAACCAAAUGGCCCCUGUCCCCCUGUCUUUGGUUGGGGCGACCGCGGAGAAACAAAAAACCCCCACGUGGAACGGGCCUACCCCCCUAAAGCCAGAGCCACAGCUCUAACAAACAGAAGAUCUGACCAAAAAGAUCCGGCAACACCGAUCAACGGACCCAGUUACCCUAGGGAUAACAGCGCAAUCCCCUUCUAGAGCCCAUAUCGACAAGGGGGUUUACGACCUCGAUGUUGGAUCAGGACCUCCUAAUGGUGCAGCCGCUAUUAAGGGUUCGUUUGUUCAACGAUUAAAGUCCUACGUGAUC
rnacentral:rRNA from 1 species